CGUUGCUCGGAAUCACUGGGCGUAAAGCGCACGUAGGCGGCUUUUUAAGUCAGGGGUGAAAUCCUGGAGCUCAACUCCAGAACUGCCUUUGAUACUGGUGAUCUUGAGUCCGGGAGAGGUGAGUGGAACUGCGAGUGUAGAGGUGAAAUUCGUAGAUAUUCGCAAGAACACCAGUGGCGAAGGCGGCUCACUGGCCCGGUACUGACGCUGAGGUGCGAAAGCGUGGGGAGCAAACAGG
rnacentral:rRNA from 1 species